rnacentral:rRNA from 1 species
AAAAGAACCCCUGUGAGGGGAGUGAAAUAGAACCUGAAACCGUGUACGUACAAGCAGUAGGAGCAGGCUUGUCCUGUGACUGCGUACCUUUUGUAUAAUGGGUCAGCGACUUAUAUUCAGUGGCAAGGUUAACCAUCUAGGGGAGCCGUAGGGAAACCGAGUCUUAACUGGGCGUUCAGUCUCUGGAUAUAGACCCGAAACCAGGUGAUCUAGCCAUGGGCAGGUUGAAGGUUGAGUAACAUCAACUGGAGGAC